GGGGCUGUGGCUCAGUAGUAGAACGUCUGCUUUGCAUCCAGGAGGUCUCCAGUUCAAUCCCUGGCAGCUCCA
rnacentral:tRNA from 1 species